CGGCAGGGCUCCGCCGCGCUCCUCGCGUCCGCUCCUGGGCUGCCAGGCAGCCCGGCGCGUCAGCCGCAGGAGCCGGGAGCGGGGCGGGAGGAGCGCUGCCCGCGGCGGGACCCUCCUGCGCGGGCCGGGGCCUUGAAGAUCCUCGGUGUUGCUGAGCCCGACCGAAGGGGGCCUCGUGCUCUGGGCACCUCGGGGCGGCUGCUGCCAACGGCAGAGCGUUCGCGUCGGGCCGGCUGCCGAGGCGCUGGGAGGCCGCAAGACCUGGGCUGCUGCUGGGGACAGCGAUGUUCCUGGAAACUCUCCAGGUUAAAUUUCUCAUGCAAUGGAAGUAUCAUGAAGCCAUCAGUUCUGUUUAAAAACUAAAAUAUUUUUGUUUACCACUGAACUGAUAUCCUGUUCUUCAAUUUAUAUAUAGAAAACAAGAUUUGCAAUCAGCUAAAGACAGCAAAUUCCACAGGCAGAGCCCGUCAUUGGCAAGAGUCAUGUUUUAGUGAAGAAAUGGUCUCUAGCAGAGGGCGAAUGGAUUAUUCAGUGCAGCGAGGCAAGCGGGAGGUGAAUGGGAGAAGUUUCAGACUAAAACUGACAGAGUUACAGGGAUCCUUCAAGGGACUCUGUCUUUCCCUGGUUCCCCUUACAUACUACUAUCCUAGCUCUGAGAUUCAUUGUGAUGGAGAGCUUGAAAGACAGAUGUAAAAGUUAGUGUGGCAUCGUUUUUGUCUCCGACUUCGUUUUUAUACACAAAGAUAUCUCAAAUAAUUUACCUUAAAAUCUCUCUGUACUGAGCUAGUGUAUGGUAUUAAGCAUUAAGAACUUUCAGACUAUUCUAGAAACUCAGAUUUUCUGUCCCUGAAAAACAUUCAAAUAAUUUUAAUGUGGAAAAAAAGAAUUUGAUCAAAAUCUCCAGACUUUCAAGUUGAAAGGACUUGCACUAUCAAAAUCAGACAAUGGGGGAGACUUGUAGAAGAAAACAAUCCAUAGCACACAUGCAAGAACAAAGCUGAAAGGAGAUCACUGGGUGACAAUAUCGCCUUUCUCCAGUACAUCACCUCCAAGGAUCCAUCACUUUUUCCACAGUGAUAAGUGAAGAAUCUUGUAUGCUUUCCCCUGAAAGCUUAGCUGAUGCAGAACAGAAGCUCAUAUGGUGUGGAGCAGUCUUUUCAAACAAUCCUGGCUUCUUUUUUGAAGACAAUGUUGAAAAGGGUUCCCUCAAGAUUCUGACGUCAAAAGCCAGACACAAACUGAAGCGCGGUACUGAGAUCUACAGCCUUAUGUUGGUUCAUGCUGUGACCCAGAUCUGAAGUCAAC